rnacentral:rRNA from 1 species
GACGAACGCUGGCGGCGUGCUUAACACAUGCAAGUCGAACGGAAAGGCCCCUUUGGGGGUACUCGAGUGGCGAACGGGUGAGUAACACGUGAGUAACCUGCCCUUGACUUCGGGAUAACUUCAGGAAACUGGGGCUAAUACCGGAUAGGAAUCCUUGCUGCAUGGUGGGGGUUGGAAAGCUUCGGCGGUUUUGGAUGGACUCGCGGCUUAUCAGCUUGUUGGUGGGGUAGUGGCUUACCAAGGCUUUGACGGGUAGCCGGCCUGAGAGGGCGACCGGCCACAUUGGGACUGAGAUACGGCCCAGACUCCUACGGGAGGCAGCAGUGGGGAAUAUUGCACCAUGGGCGGAAGCCUGAUGCAGCAACGCCGCGUGCGGGAUGACGGCCUUCGGGUUGUAAACCGCUUUCAGCAGGGGCGAAGCUUGUGGUGACGGUACCUGCAGAAGAAGCACCGGCUAACUACGUG